rnacentral:rRNA from 1 species
AUUGAACGCUGGCGGCAGGCCUAACACAUGCAAGUCGAGCGAGCGGCGGACGGGUGAGUAAUGUCUGGGAAACUGCCUGAUGGAGGGGGAUAACUACUGGAAACGGUAGCUAAUACCGCAUACCAUCAGAUGUGCCCAGAUGGGAUUAGCUGGUAGGUGGGGUAACGGCUCACCUAGGCGCAGAUCCCUAGCUGGUCGGAUAGGAUGACCAGCCAAACGGGAACUGAGACACGGUCCAGACUCCUACGGGAGGCGGCAGUGGGGAAUAUUGGAAAAUGGGCGCAAGCCUGAUGCAGCCAUGCCGCGUGUGUGAAGAAGGCCUUCGGGUUGUAAAGCACUUUCAGCGGGGAGGCGUUACCCGCAGAAGAAGCACCGGCUAACUCCGUGCCAGCAGCCGCGGUAAUAC